GUCCCGUGGCCGAGUGGUUGGGUUCUCCGGCUUUGGCAGCCCAGGGUUUCGCAGGUUUGGAUCCUGGGUGCAGACAUGGUGCCGCUCAUUGGGCCAUAUUGGGGUAGCGUCCAACGUGCCACAACUAGAAGGACCCAAAACUAAAAUAUACAAGAUCAGUCCUGAGCUAACAUCUGCUGCCAAUCCUCCUCUUUUUGCUGAGGAAGACUGGCCCUGAGCUAACAUCCGUGCCCAUCUUCCUCCUUCGUCUACUUUACAUGUGGGACGCCUGCCACAGCAUGGCUUGAUGAGCAGUGCCAUGUCUGCACCUGGGAUCCGGGCCGGCGAACGCCAGGCCACCAAAGCAGAAUGCGUGAACUUAACCACUGCGCCACUGGGCCAGCCCCUGCUAAAGAGUAUUCCAGGGGCCGGCCCCGUGGUGCAGCAGUUAAGUGCACUUGUUCUGCUUCUCCGUGGCCUGGGGUUCACCAGUUUGGAUCCCAGGAAGAUUAGCCCUCAGCUAACAUCUGCUGCCAAGCUUCCUCCUUUUGCUGAGGAAGACUGGCCCUGAGCUAACAUCCGUGCCCAUCUUCCUCUACUUUGUAUGUGGGAUGGCUGCUACAGCAUGGCUUGCCAGGCAAUGCCAUGUCCUCGCCUGGGAUCUGAACCAGCGAACCCCGGGCCACCAAAGCAGAACAAAUGCACUUAACUGCUACACCACCGGGCCAGCUCUCAUUGUAAUUUUUAAAUUUUUGUUUCUUUUGCAAUGGGCAUAAAAAAAAAUUUUAAAGCUACUCAUUUUUUGCCUUCAAUAAACUUUCUGCUUAGUCAUUUGCAACUUUUUCUCUUGAAUUGUUGAUAUUUCUUACUGAUUUGUUGGGGGCAUCUUUAUAUAUUGGGGUGAUGUAAGUUGUGAGUAUUUUUCCCAGUCUGUCACUUGUCUUCUGAUGUUGUUUAUGAUUUUCUCGGUGAGAAAUGCAUGCUUUUAACAAAUUUUAAUUUUUAUAUAGUCAAAUGUAUUAAUCUUUUCUUUUAAAGUUUUUGGAUUUUGCACCAUAAUUAGAAAGACCUAUUC
rnacentral:lncRNA from 1 species